rfam:Nicotiana sylvestris Nsyl_contig31314, whole genome shotgun sequence.
UGGAUAGAUUAUUGUAUUCGACUGUAUUCACGCCGUGAAAUAGGGGAUUACACUGUUUUUAAAACGGAAAGUGAAUCAAUUAACAUAAUAGACUCCU